GGCUGGAUAGCUCAAUGGUAGAUCUUCGGGUCAGAGCAUCUCACAUGAUACGAGAAGGUCCUAGGUUCGAUUCCUGGUCCAACCC